rnacentral:rRNA from 1 species
UCAGGAUGAACGCUAGCGGCAGGCUUAAUACAUGCAAGUCGUGGGGCAGCAGGUUUGUAGCAAUACAGAUGCUGGCGACCGGCAAACGGGUGCGGAACACGUACAGGACCUUCCUUUGAGCGGGGAAUAGCCCAGAGAAAUUUGGAUUAAUACCCCAUAGUAUAAUGAAGUGGCAUCACUUUAUUAUUAAAGAUUUAUCACUCGAAGAUGGCUGUGCGGCUGAUUAGGUAGUUGGCGGGAUAAAGGCCCACCAAGCCUGCGAUCAGUAACUGGUGUGAGAGCACGACCAGUCACACGGGCACUGAGACACGGGCCCGACUCCUACGGGAGGCAGCAGUAAGGAAUAUUGGUCAAUGGAGGCAACUCUGAACCAGCCAUGCCGCGUGGAGGAUGAAGGUCCUCUGGAUUGUAAACUUCUUUUAUAUGGGACGAAAAAAGGCUUUUCUAAGUCGUCUGACGGUACCAUAUGAAUAAGCACCGGCUAACUCCGUG